rnacentral:rRNA from 1 species
UACGGAGGGUGCAAGCGUUAAUCGGAAUUACUGGGCGUACAGCGCACGCAGGCGGUCUGUCAAGUCGGAUGUGAAAUCCCCGGGCUCAACCUGGGAACUGCAUUCGAAACUGGCAGGCUAGAGUCUUGUAGAGGGGGGUAGAAUUCCAGGUGUAGCGGUGAAAUGCGUAGAGAUCUGGAGGAAUACCGGUGGCGAAGGCGGCCCCCUGGACAAAGACUGACGCUCAGGUGCGAAAGCGUGGGGAGCAAACAGGAUUAGAUACCCUGGUAGUCCACGCCGUAGACGAUGUCGAUUUGGGGGUUGUGCCCUUGAGGCGUGGCUUCCGGAGCUAACGCGUUAAAUCGACCGCCUGGGGAGUACGGCCGCAAGGUUAAA